AUUCAGCUGACGAAUUCCAUACAGGACGAAACGCACGUCCUGGAC
rfam:Schistosoma mansoni strain Puerto Rico chromosome 3, complete genome